UCCGGUUGAUCCCGCCGGACCCCACUGCUAUCGGGAUGGGACUAAGACAUGCUAGUUGAGCGCCUUCCAGCCAUGUGGGAGGCGCAGCGCACAGCUCAGUAACACGUGGCUAACCUGCCCUUGGGACGAGAAAAACCCCGGGAAACUGGGGAUAAUCCUCGAUAGGUGAAGAACUCUGGAAUGAGUCUUUGCUUAAAAGGCGUUGGAUCAUGCUUUCAGCGUCGCCCAAGGAUGGGGCCGCGACCGAUCAGGUUGCUGGUGAGGUAAUGGCCCACCAAGCCUUUUACCGGUGCGGGCCGUGAGAGCGGGAGCCCGGAGAUGGGCACUGAGACAAGGGCCCAGGUCCUACGGGGCGCAGCAGUCGCGAAAACUUUGCAAUACACGAAAGUGUGACAGGGUCAUCCCGAGUGCCGACCGCUGAGGUUGGCUUUUACCCAGUCUAGAAAGCUGGGGGAAUAAGGAGAGGGCAAGUCUGGUGUCAGCCGCCGCGGUAAUACCAGCUCUCCGAGUGGUGUGGACGUUUAUUGGGCCUAAAGCAUCCGUAGCUGGCUGAACAAGUCCCCUGUUAAACCCACCGAUUUAAUCGUUGGUCUGCGGGGGAUACUGCUCGGCUAGGGGACGAGAGAGGCAGACGGUAUUCCCGGGGUAGGGGUGAAAUCCUAUAAUCCCGAGAAGACCACCAGUGGCGAAGGCUGUCUGCUAGAACGCGCCCGACGGUGAGGGAUGAAAGCUGGGGGAGCGAACCGGAUUAGAUACCCGGGUAGUCCCAGCUGUAAACGAUGCAGACUA
rnacentral:rRNA from 1 species